GGUAGGCCCUGGACUUCCCUGCACUGCAGGCAGUGAUGAGGCUGGGCAGCAGAGAAAGGAGAAAAUGGACUCCCUCCUCCUGAAGACAAGAAUGCCAGCUACCAGCCAUGGGUGCCAGUUUGCAGCCUGCUGAAGGAAAACAACAUCAAGGUGUAGAUGGAAUGUCACACUGUGAAAUGAGGUCUGGGCUCUCAUGUGGUUGCCGAUGGCCAGAUGAUGUGACUUGAAAG